UUUGUUGUACUCUCUCAUUUGCCUUUGUGGGAACGACACUGCUAUAUUGGUUGCUUAUUUAAGAUCAUGCGAUUCCUGACUCCCACCGAUUUUUCUAGGAACAGAUGCCCAUCCUCCCAUGUCCGGUUUUUAGUUUGUUAUGGAAUAUUAACUAUUAUCUGUACUCCUAAAGGGGAGUUUGCGGCGGUGAUGGUGCUUCCACCUUCCAAACUACAAGGUCUGCAGCCUUAGAUGAACAGCUACAGCUUUAUUUGCCCGAGGAUGAUUUGAUUGUGCAAAAGUCUCGAGAAAAUUCAAGACAUACGUAAGAUGCACAUGGACCACGGGUCUUUCAACAUGGCAGGGCGCGUAGUGGCAUGCGACAAGCAACAUAUGUUGAAAGAGACCAUUGAUCACUACUUGGACCUAAUUUUUU